UGUUAUUACUUGGUAAGAUUCCGGACCUCGCCAAGUGUUUUGAAAACCCGCAACGCUCGCAAAGGUGCAUAGUGAGAAUAAUAAGUGAAGAGACAGACUUGUCCAAAACGCCCACCACGAAGGUGCAUAGUGAGAAGAGUAAGUCAAGAGACAGACUUGUUCAAAAAGAAACAAAAGAGAAUGCUUGGGGAGAUAGAAGUGUGAGAUAGUUCUCAAGCUAAGAAAGUUGUAAAAGCUAAGAACUAGC